AAGCAGCAAGUGCUUCUAACUGCUGGUCCGUCUCUCCAAUGCCCAAUAAUGUUCAAACUGGUUUCUUCUCGAUACAUCUGAACAAAGCAGUGAACGGAAAGUCUGCUCUGCUCUUUGUGGUUUUGAGACUAACAGGGGGUGAGUUUGUUGUUAGACAUAAAAUGAACCCACCUCUGCCUACUUGACUCUUCAUAAGGAACCUCUGUCUAGCAAACUGGAGUCUUCCUCUCACAGUUCAAUUUUUUCAUGACAUUCAGGAUGCUAAAGACGUAAGUGUGUCUGAAACUCUUUUGAUGUGUAGACACUCUUUUGAUAAAUGGUGGAUUCUUUUCUUCUUUGUUUGCUUUCUCAAAAACUGUAUUUGGCAAAGACAUACGUGUAGAUCUCCGUUCAGAACAAUCUCCAGCUCAGGGAAUUGUUGAGAAACCGAUGCUGGCUAAUGCUCCGGGGCAGAAGCACUGGCUGGGCUGGUCCAGGACUUGUAAGGUUUUGUGUUUGCUAAUUAGGAGCUGACAGAUGGGACUGCUAACAGAUGAUAUGUGAGGCUGGGAGGAGCAGGACAUCAGAAGGUGCGUCCCCGGUUACAGAUAAACAUUGCUUUCCUCUCAAGCAGCCCCCAAAAGGCACAGCACAACAGUUCAAGGGCAUGUGCGCUUUUGCACACUUAAGUGACAUUUUUGUUCCAGUGAGUGUUUGAAUCAGAAACUUAAAGCAACAAGCCUUCAGCUUAACACAAUGUCUUAGUUCACAUGUUUUUGUUAUUUCACUAAGCAAAGGAUGGCUGUUUUCUUUUUUAUAGAGCCAAGUCUGGUGGUUUCUCUGGUUCAUGUAUUAAAAAUCAUCAGACAUUUAAAAUAUUCAGUUCAAGACAGUAAAUAAGCUAAAUAUUGGAUAAUAGAGAACGGGGAAAAAUCUGUUUUAUUGGUCAUGGUUCAGAAAAUGCAGAAAUGGAUUUUUGUUCUUCUGAGGUAUAAAAUUGAACUUCAUGAAUCUGAAUCAAAUAUAAAAAUUCAUAAAAUAUGUCAUCCUAUGGCCAAUUAAAACCAAAGCAUUUUUAUAUUCAUAAAAUACAUGAAAUUACUUUAAAAUAAAAGGGUAAACUAUGUAAGUUGGAGAAAUUCUCUGCUUGUCUUCUCUGAGGAGGUUCUUGUAUUUGCAGUUUUUGUGGUGAUUCACUGUAUUUCCAGUGCCUGGGUGUUAACAUACACUACGUCUGGCACACAGUGUUAGAAAACAGGGGAAAGUAGCAUUUUAAACUCAGGUUUACUAUCCCGACUGUGGCUUGAUCUGCUCUAUCAGCUUAAGGAGGUUCUUUAAACAUAUUUUGAGUAAAUAUCAUGUGUAUUUCUGGUGUUGUAAUAGUCUAAGACUUGCUAUAUGCCCUUCUUAUGUGCAAAACAUGUACUUCCAGAAGACUGGUUGGGUGUUUGAGAGAAUAGACGAUACCAGAUUCUUUUUCUGUUUCUCCUAUACCUACAUGUCAUGGUGAAGUGCAAGUUGUAAGUUAGGCACAAUAGGAGACGCAUCACAAUGUCUAAUAGUAAAAUUGAAGGGUCAUAACAGUAUCCUUUAGGAAUUUACUGUGAAUGCUCUCACUCUUGGUUCAACCAUCACAGGCUGGUGAUUCAUACCGUAGAGGGGAUGACCCAUGUUCUGGGCAUGCUAUUGAGACAACAUUGAUUUUAUCCUGCUACUGGAAGAGCAUGUCACUUAAAACUUAAAUGCUUGUUUGCUUUUGGAUAUUUGUACUCAAUAAGUUUGAACUGUGAUUAUUGAUGACUAGGACCAAACUGUUUGUAGAUUGUCUGUAGAUUGUCUCUUAUACUGUAUUCCGCAUGGAUACAGUAAAGAGGAAAGGAACCCAGGGAAGAAGUUGGUGUAUGAGUACACGUUUUCACUUUGUCCUAAGCAAAGUAUGUCCUAGCAUAGAGAUGGAGAAGAUUUAGCUAGUUUUUGUUCUCGAGAGUUGUCCCUUCUUAAUUUGCAGAAGUACAAUGGGGGCUUUACUGUUCAAAUUGCAACAAACAAACAAACAAACAAACAAACAAAAGAUUUGUGUGCUCUGAUGGUCUUGCCCUCUCACUAUUGGAAUGAAUAAACUUGGAGAAAGACCCCUUUGGUUAUGUGUUUUAAAGCCUUUUUUGUAAUAACCUUAAUAUUUACUCUGUAACAUUUUGGCCCUUGAGAAUCCCAGAAAAACAGUAAAGAGUAAAAAGACCUAAAAUACCUACACAUUAUUCAACAUCGUAUAAGCUGUCCUUUUUUAAAAAAAAAAAUAGCACUACUUAUAACACAUCAAUUUGCAAAUGACAUUCUGUCUACACUGGAGCAUGCUCCCUGUUAUCUUAUUAACAACAUCAUUCUCACCCAAUUGUAUUUCAAUACACUUUCUUUUUAAUUUUAGUACACAUUAACUUGUGUGUUUGUUUGGGAGUGGCGGCACACAGUUGCUACAGUACGUGAGAGGAUGUGGGUUCAACUUGAGGAAGUGGGUUCACUCCUCAUCAUGUGGGUUUCAGGGGUGAAGCUUAGAUGGUCAAACAUGGCAGCAAGCACCUGGACCUGCUGAAUCAUCUUAUGUAACCAUAAUAUACUUCUUAAGACAGGUCUUGGGUCACAGUUACCAAACUGAGCAUUUUGUGAAACUCCAGAUGUGGUCCCAUGAUAUGUCCUCCAAGGGAAAAAUCACUUGUUAGGAGUAUCAUGAAAGAAAAAAAAAACAGGAAACAGAGAAUUCUUUUGGGAAUUUUAGAAACCAUGAGAAAUAAUGUCUUCUCAAGCCCUUUGUGCCCUGAAAGCCUGUUGACACAAUGUGUGGCCUUUGGAUAACAGACAUUCAGCAUUUGCUUUUUUUUUUCCCCUUGAAAUUUUAAAACAUAAAAUACAAUAUGAUAAAAUAAAUACUAACUGUAGGAAUUGGACAAAACAAAGAGAAGUAAAAGAGCUCAACAGAAAGCACAGUAAACAUAGACCCUCUAAAAGUCCCGCUCAAGAAUCACAUAAAAUCAAUAAUCUGGAAGCCCAAAUAUACAUAUAGAAGACCUACUUCAGAUCCUUGCAGGCCCUCUGUGUGCUGCCUCUGUCUCUGUGAGUUCGCAUGUGUGCCCAUUGUUUGUUAUGUUGAUUUAGAGAACCUUGUUUUCUUGUGUCUUCCGUGUCUUCUGGUCUUACCCUCUUUCUGUCUCCUCCCUGAACCCUAUGGGGAGAGAUUCCAUGGAAAUGUCCAGUUUCCCACUGAGUAUUCAUAGGUCUGUCUGCCUGCCUGCCUGCCUGCCUGCCUGUCUGUCUGUCUCUUUGUGUCUCUGUUUCUCUCUCUCUCUCUCUCUCUCUCUCUCUCUCUCUCUCUCUCCAUCUCUCCAUCUCUCCAUCUCUCCCUUUCUCUCUCCUAAUGCAUCGUGUAAUGCUAUGGGUCUCUGUAUUUGUUCUCCUUUGCUGUGGAAGGACGCUUCUCUGAUGAUGGCUGCUCAAGGCACUGAUCUCUGAUUAUAACAGAAUGUCAUUAGGAGUAACUUAUUGCUAUGUUCCUUUAGUAGAACAGGGGUAUUUGGUUUCCCCCUAGGUCUCUGGGCCAUCUGGUUUCAGACUUUUAGUUACCUAGGCAGUAUAGUGUAUGGGUUCCAUUUCGUAGAGUGGGCAUGAAGUCAAAUUAGACAUUGGUUUCGGUGCUCCCAUAAACUUUAUGCGACCAGUACAUUGCCAUUUCUUGCAGGCAAUACACCACUGUAGGACAAAGGAUUCCUGAAACUUCUGUUUGCUUUCUGCACAGCUUAGCUAUGUCAGGAGGCUCUCGAAAUAACAGGAACUCUAGAAAAUGGGACAGUUAUCAGAAGCAGGCUUUUGGUGCUAUAAAGCAGACUUUCACACUGGUUUCACAGAUUUCCUUAAGCUCUUUGUCUGAAAAAAUAAAACCAAAACAAAGCCACACAACAGGAUUGUAGCUUCUGGUGUCUGGCCACAUACUGAACAACGACACUUCAGUACGGUUCGAACCUUCUUGGGUUUCAGAACAGCUGGAUCACUCUGCCCAGCUCUGAUGGUUGGUACUUAGAGCAGUGCCAAGAUGGUUCCCUCCUCUGCUGGCUCUGCACGUUUACACCUUCAUUGCCAGCAGAUGCAUGCAUACAUCAUAAAAAAUUGUCCUCCGGGUAUUUUUUGUUUUAUUUUGUUUCUCUUCACACUUUAGAAGAAUUUCAAGGGAAAGGGAUUAUGGGAAACUUGCUCAAUGGAGCUUUGCAUCACAAUCACGAUGGAGCUGUGGCAUUCAUUAUGACUCUGAGAAUAAUGACCAUGUGCGGUGGGGAUGAAGUUUCUCUUAAGGACCCUAGAGGUCAGGGGGCCCUUUAGCUAACGUUCAUAGACCUUCCUUUGGAAACUGAAAGGAGCAAUUAUGUGAAGUCUUACCAACUGAUUCCUAUAUUAAGAUACCUAACGAAAUAUUCACUAAGGCAUCAACAUUAAACGUAUUGAAAAGGUCAGGGACUGGGGAGGUGUCACAGUGAUUAAGAAUUCUUCCAGAGGACUAGGCUACAGUUCCAAGCACUUAAGGAAUGCUCUGAGUGGCUAAGGCUGGCAGAGAAGGAGUCAAUUCAGCAGUGGCAAUGGAGUUGUAUAGAGCUUUCCAACUGAAAUGGUUCCAUCUAGUCGUGUCUAACCAAUUCAGCAGCAUUGCUGAUGACAGUUGACUCUAUGUGCUUAGAGAGUGGGACUGUGAACAGGCUUCAAGUACAGCUCCGGAGACAGGGAAGUGGAAUGUAUUAGAGAGCGUGAAGAAACUUUGGAGAAAACAUCAUUAUGUGUAGAAAUAAUUUAUAGCAGGCAAAUGUAAAACGUUUUAUUAAGCAAUACAGGUUCGUUAGUGUGGAAGGAUGUUCUGAUUUAAGUCUGCCAUGAUCCCAUGGGUGGAGCUUGCGAGGGUGCAGAACUUUCACUAUGACACGGAACUUAGUCCACGACGGGGGGCGGGGGGGAGUGGCAGGCCUGGUGUACCCAGCCCAGGUUGGGUAUAACUCCCCUUUAUUCUUCUAACAUCUACAACAGGGAAACUCCAGCUCAUACUCUGCCACCAGAGAGCUUUUCCAUCAUUUCUCCAUUAAUGUUAUGGAAUGAACUCUCUGAAACCAUGAACUAGGUAUAGCAACGAGAAAAGUAACUAUCGCAUGAAGCGCCUCCCUUUCUUCAAAACAUAAGGAGUGUUACCGAGUUCCAUAUGUGUCUAUGAACCACUGGCAUGGUGGUCAGUAAGUAUAGAGCCAGUUUUUGGUAACGAUUAUAACAGUGAUGCAUGUUAGCAAAAUCCCUGUGCACAGAGGGAGUCAAGGCAGCAUGCAUGCAGUCACUAAGGACCUAUGGUGUCUUGUGCUGGAGGGAAGGGCUGUGUUUCCAAAGGUCUGAGAUAGAUGCAUGCAGGAAAGAGACCUUCCCUUUGGAAGCUUGGGAGAAAGCUGGAUGAUGCUUCUUAAGAAAGUGAAGUACAUACUUGCUUAGACUUAACUUUAAGGGUGGCUAUGAUACCAGCAAAGUAGAGUUGACAGUAGGCUGCAUUUUUAGCUGAAGGAACUUAACAGUUACGUGGUUGUCUGUGGAAGCAGAGGGAGAUCAAGAUUGAAUGGAAGUAAAGUUUGGUGAGUAUUUUCAGAGACAAGGUAGUGUAUUCAGACAAGGUAUUCAGAAGCAGCCGUUCUGGAAGACUCUUGUACCAAGUGGAGAAAUUUUAAUUUUUACAAUGGAGAAGAAGCAAGGGUAUGGGUGGAAUCUCUUCAUGGGGUAAAAGUUUAGCCCAACAGCUGUCUUUGGUAUUUUCCUAAUGCAUCAACCUUGGGACAACUAAACCAUUCUAAGAAUGAAAGUCUAAAAAUUAAACAAUAAAGCUGAAACAAUCAAGAUAUGGCUCAUGGGAUAUGAUUAGCCUGGUUAAUGUUUGUUUGAGCUUUGAUGUAGAAAUGAAUGCAGAAUGCAAAGAUGUAUACAUUUAAUUUUCCAAUUAGCUUUCAAGAAAUGAAAAUCUCUUUCUUAUUUUAAUCACUUUUGUGUCCUCCCAAACAUGGUAAUUAAUAUUAUGGGAAUAAAAGAAGAUAUAGUCCUUAUACAGAAAGAAUAGUUAGCAAGCUCGGGGGUGUGACUCAGGGGUUAUCUUCAUGUUUCCAUAGUAAGCAACAUAAAAGCUGAGUGAUCUUCUGAGCACUAGAAAUGUUUUCAUGUUGUAAAUUGUGAUAACCAACUCACAGAUUACCAGAUGAUGGUAAUGGUGCUUAGGGCACAGGCAGAUAGCAAAGUAUCCGAACUUAGCUUAAAGAAACAAAUAAGAUCCAAUAAACGUGUACGAGUAUGUAUGCACACAAAUGCAACUGUAGUAAAAUAAUUAAAUAAAUCGCAGUAGUGCAAGGUUUUGGGUACCAGAAUGAAACACAGACACACACACACACACACACACACACACUCACACACAGAUACCACACACACAAACACACACACAAACACACAUACUCACACACACACAGACACCACACACACACAGACACCACACACACACAGACACCACACACACACUCACACACAGAUACCACACACACAAACACACACACACUCACAUACACACAAACACCACACACACACAGACACCACACACACACAUUCACAGACACCACACACACACAUUCACAGACACCACACACACACACACACACACACAAACACCACACACACACACACACACACACACACACACACACACACACACACAUACUCACACAGCCUUUAUAUUUUAAUAUGCCUUAUUCUGCUCAAUGGCUGGGCCACUUCCUAUCUUCCAUGAAGCUAAUCCAUCUCUCUCCGAUAGUCUUGAGUUACAACUUACUACAUUCUGUUUUCUAUCUUGGCUGCCCUGGACCCAGUUUGCCAAUUCUCUUGGGCUGCACUCUCCUGGAUCCUACAUGGUGGCCAUGCUUCCCUGUCCUGCAUCUUCUUAGGUCUCUUCUCUCCUCCUUCUCCUUCCCUUCUCCCAGUGUGGAUCUCCUCAUUCUCUUCCGCUCUGUCCCUAGCCCAGGAAUCCUAAAGUCCACCCUCUGUCUGCCCCGCUCAGCCAUUGGCUGCAGGCACCUUCAUUUACCAAUCAGAAACAACUGGGGACAGGGUCCCCCAGUGUCUUACCUGCUGACACUUCUGUAAACAAGUUUUUGGGGAACAUAAUUAGCAUGAGAAUGCUACAUACAUGCCUUUUAAAAAUAUUGCUCAGUUAAAUAACAAGACAUCAAGACAUCGCCUAAUUGGAAAACUAAAUAUCAAGACAUCUUCUAAAUUUGCAUUUUAAAGUAAAUGACAAAAAUAGUCAAUGCUGUUAAUUCAGGUUUUCCUAGAAACCAACAGCAAAAUUUAUGUUGCUUUCAUCUGUAAUUUCCUCUCAAGAUACAAUUCCUGACAUCAAGGAUCAAUGAAGCUAUAAAUUUUUAGUCAUCAUUCUCUAGUUUUAUGUUAUUUGAAAAAAUGGAACAUUUUUAACCAAAAGAGAAAAAGUUAUCGUGUUGGUUUUCUUGAUAUAUGCAAAGGCAUGCAAUACAAAUUUAUGUCCAAAAUUCUGCGAUGUCUGUUUGAAUUGAACAGGAGAGGCCCAGCAGUCCAGGCUGUAAGUCCUGCACCAUCGUGUAUCCUGCUCCAGUGCUUUUUCUCAAGGCGGAUUUGCACAGUGUUUAGUGUGUGGCAGGAAAAGGAGCUGGUAUUGUAGAGGGAGGUUGAUCUUUUUGGCUUUGCUCAUUUUGAAGAUGAUUUGAAAUGAACAGAAAGUCUUUGCAUCAACCCUUCCCGGUUGUGUAGGAUCUGGUUUGUUUUAACACUCCACCAAUGAAAUGCACCCAAAGCUGUGAUUUUUGUUGUUGUUUUGUUUGUUUUUGCUUUUGCAAACAGAAUCAUAGUGCUGGUAUAUCUUUGUUCAUAAGUGAAAUAUUUUAAAAGAAAAUUCCUUAAGAGGAUAGGUGUCUUCUAACUUUCCCGAUUGUGUCAACUCAGUGUCUACAUAAACCACAGUAUCCUCACAAGCCACAUAUGCAUACAGACCACACUCUCUACAGACUACAGUAUCUACACAAUCUACAGUGUCUACACAGACUCCAUAUCCACACAAACCACUGCCAGUUAGUUUAAUUUCAUGCUAUUUAACCUUUGUGAAACUCAAAACUCUCAAUUAUGACAACGUUGAGUAGCAUGAAAAGAAUUUCCACCCCUAAAUAUGUAAUCACUAUCAGGUUAAAUAUUGUCUCAUAAGUUAGAGUUGUUAAACUCUGAGUUUACCACUAAUGACUUUUUCUUACAUUAUAAGUUGUUAAAGAGCUCCUUCAAAAACACCCGAUCUUUGAGUAACUAAAUUAAUACUAGCAAAGAUUGCUUAAAUUGAAAGAAACAGGAAAAAAGUGAUGAUACCAUUCAAAAUGCCAAUUCAAUCAAGAACUCAAUAAUGAACUCAAAAGACGUUUUGAGUCUCACUGCAUAUUAAUUGUUGGGUGAAUUGCAUGGCCAUGGAUGAUGUCAGUAGUGUUCAGAGGUGAAAUCUCUUAGAGUUGAGAAAAAUAUAAAAUGAGGAGAAAGGGAGAGAGAAGAAGGAGGAAGAGGGCAUCAGAGAGAGAGAGAGAGAGAGAGAGAGAGAGAGAGAGAGAGAGAGAGACUGCUGUUUUUGACGACCAACAUUUCUGUUUAUUAUAUUUAUAUUACCUGUAUGAGCUUCCAUUUACUUCCCCAACUCCUCUUCUUUUCUUUGCCUCCUUUUAAGUUGUCUCACACAUGUAUACAAUAUAUGGUGGUAAUAUUCACACUAUCUUGCCCCCUUUUAGGGUUUAUUUAUUUUAUGUACAUUAAUGUUUGGCCUGUAUGUAUGUCUCUAUGAGGGUGUCAGAUCCUCUGGAACUGUAUCUACAGACAGUUGUAAGCUGCCAUGUGGAUACUGGGAAAUGAACCCAGAUCCUCUAAGAUCUCAAUGCUUAAGAGCACUCAAUGCUCUUGACCUCUGAGCCACUUACUCUCCUCUCUUAUGCCCCCCCUCCACCCACACACACACCCACACACCUGAUGACCACUUCCCUUUUCCAUUACAGAUUCAGGCUUGCUUACUUGUCCGUGGUGACAUGGAUGUUCUGUUCAGAGCUGAGCAAUGAGCAGUUGCUUGUUCUCAGCACUUUGGCCACCACGUGUCUCUGCACUCGCCCUGCUGACUACAUGAGGGUGCUUCUAAGGCUCUAUAAGUAUAAAUACAUAGAUGGUAGUUUGAUCACAUGUCUGUUUCGCAAAAUAUUAGAAGUAAUUACUCUCUCCCUCAAGGUAAUAAGCUAGAGACUUCACAAAUUAUAGGCCUUUGAUCAAAUUUAUAGUAAAAGGUUUAUAUUCUUUUUGUGAAACUACUUUCAAAUCCAGUCAGCAGGAACAAGCCAGGCCACCAUCAUUCCAGCAGACACAUCUACCUUGUAAGUUCUCGAUUGUAGGAUGCACGCAGGCUCCACAGCUGGGUAAGACCGCGAUGGGUCCAUUAACACACAUGGCUUACUGGAAGCGAUGGAGGGUAGCAGACGUCUAGUGAACUGUGUGACAGCACCAGGAGCCUGACAAUAGAUUGGGAGAACUCCACCCUCCGAGAGAUGGACGUGUUCUGUUUCAAUAAAAUUCACAGCAUGACAUUCAACAUUGAAAACUCUUGAAUCCAUAUUUAUGUCUCCUUAGGCUACUCUGCCUGAUAUCUUUGCAUAUAACCAUUUAUCCCAAGUGUCUUGUCAGUCAAAAUCAGGAGGAAAGAGUCAAGUACCCGCUUCCUUGUCCUCAUUCUCUUUCACUUCUUCUCCUUCCUUUUUCUCUUCUUCCUCCCCAUCUUCCUCCAUUUCCUCUUCCUUUCUUUCUUGAAGAGUGAAAGUUGUUUGAUCAGGGAGGCCUCACUUCAUUAUUGUGACUUCUCCUUUACUACUCUGUGUGUGUGUGUGUGUGUGUGUGUGUGUGUGUGUGUGUGUGUCUUGGGUGCGGGCAUGUGAUUUUAGAAUUAAAGAAUAUAUUAUAGGAAAGAAGAAUAAUGAAAACUAUAAGAGAGCAGCUCAGUCACCCUCCCCCCAGCAGCCCCUGCUUCUUCACUGUUCUGGGGAAGUAGCUAUGCUUGUGUCUAUGGUGAUAAAAUACCCUUGCGUGGACAUUUGUUUAGAUUUGUAAGAAUUAUUGAGAUCGUAAUAAUGUCCUUAUAUUCCCUAACAUUUACAUAUUAGAAAUAAAAGAGUAAUGAAAAAUACUAACCUACCAAUUAAAAACAAUAAUAAUAAUCAACUUCCCUUAUAUUUGAACAAAUGGCAUUUUUUUAGCAAAACACUACAUUUACUAAAGCAAAGACAACUUAGAAUAAAGUCAGUACACACUUUUGUGUUUGUAAAUGUCUUGAGAACUUGGCUUAUUAGAGGAUGGCUAGACCCACGUUAUCUGCUCCUGAUUCAUUUUCUAGGUUCGUCAGCAUCAAAGCAGGAUGCUGACUUUGUCAAAGCGAAUACUGAUUCCGUGUUAUUAUCACAAUAUCCUUUGAUCCUACACCCCUGCUGAAAGUCUUCCAGUAAAAUUUCUACCCCCCACAAAUUCCUGGUGCCAUAGAAUGUCAGAUAGUUGAUGUGUAUUUUAGUUCUUUUAAUUGUGCCACAUGUGUGCUACUAGUGGGAUGCUCAGCGUAAUAUGCCCACUGCUAUUCUGCAAAGCUCUUCUUACCAGAGAAGCUGCUGAUCAAAGCUCACAAAGGUCUGAUGUUAAAAUAUACAUUGCGCGUAUAUGUAUAUACAUACAUGUAUCUAUAUACAUAUAUGUAUUAUAUACACAUGCACAUGUAUUCAUCUCUCUAUAUAUACACAUAUAUAUAUAUACACACACACAAAUAUAUACACGUAUACAUAUGUGUACAUUCUCUACUAAUCAAUACAGAUGGCAGUAAGAGAAGCCAUUCGAAAUACUCAUGAUAUUGAAGCCAGUAUUUUCCUCUGUUGUGUUUCUAAACAGGCUGGAAUUUACUGAGGUCACCUGACUCAGAAAUAAAUGCUCAUCCACUAUUGCUUGAAAUAGGGUGGGUAGCUUUGCAUAAUUAAACUGACAAUCCAGUCUAUAUGUCAUUUCUAGAUGAUCUGAGUGUUGGGCCAGUUAAAGGAAAGAAGGAAACAAUAUUUUGAAUUACUUCCACACAAUCUGUAUUCUCUGAGGUAAAAUUCUAAUUGUGUGUCUGUGUAGACUUGAAGAGGAACAUGGAGGUCAUUCUGACUGUGACAGUGGAAGGAGCUUUCCAGUGAGAGUCAUUAAUGUGCUGCUGUAAUGAAGGCAUAUACUUUUUGAGGAACUUCCCCUGCAUUCCUUUAUUUUACAUGUAUAUUAUUGGUUGAAAGUUCGAAUGACAGAGAUUUUAAGCUUCAAUCUUUACUAGAAGUAUGAAGUACGGGGGUUCCUUAUGACAUUUUCAUAUGAACAUGUAAAGUACUUGGAUCAUUAUUGAGUUGAUUUCAUGCUAAAGUGAUAAAAUUUUGCUUCCUUGGAAUUCUGGUGUAUUAAAAUUGUAAGGAAAUCAUUCCCCUCUAUUGAAGACUUGGUGUGAAUUACAUAUUUCUAAUUUCAGGCUGGUUUUUCUCCCUCCCUCCCUCCCUCCCUUCCUUCCUUCCUUCCUUCCUUCUUCCGUCUUUCCUUUUUUUCUCCUUCCUAUCUGGCAAUUGAUUUCUAAGAAACUAUUUAGCAUCCUUCAAAACAGCAAAUACAAGGGAACAGGAGUGAAUUAACUAUGGCAGCCACAGGACUGAAGGAACUAAAAGUCCAGGGAGGUAGGCAUCAGGGAGAACAGAGAGAGAGAGGGGGGGGGAGGGGAGGGGAGGGGAGGGGAGGGGAGGGGAGAGGAGAGGAGAGGAGAGGAGAGGAGAGGAGAGGAGAGGAGAGGAGAGGAGAGGAGAGGAGAGGAGAGGAGAGGUGGACAAGGGCAGCUUAGACUCGAAUGGCAGAUGAAUGGAUAGCACUGGACUUGUGUAUGUGGUAGGACAGUCCCACCAGACACCACCUGGCAAGCUCUUUGUCAGGCCGUGUUGGAGCUAAGCAGACAUGCACAGCUCUAGGUGUCCAAGUCACUGACAAUGAUCAGGCUUAUUCAGAACAGCAUUCUGUCCAUGCUGAUGGGUAUGUGUCAGUGUAUCUACUUCAUGUUUGUGUGGGUAUUGUUUCAGGCCAGAAGAAUGGGUCACAUCUUGUACAGCCAGUCCCAGGGUAAUGAGCCAGACAACAUGGGUGCUGGGUCCUUUGGAAGGGCAACAAAAGCUCUUACUUAACUAGAAGCCAUCCCUCCAGCCCCAUGGGCUCACUCUUAUAAACAUUAGUGAAAGCUUGUUGUUUGAAUGGAAUUUCUUUCAAACAUUUGCUAGCGUUCGUUUUUAUUAUGUUUAUGGAUUUCCACAUGAUGUUUGUAUGUGCACCAUGUGUGUGCUUGGUGGCUUUGGACAGCAGGAGAGGCUCUCAGAUCCUCUGGAGCUGGAGUUACAGCUGGUUCUGAGCCACAGUGUGAGUGCUAAGAUUUAAAAACAAAAGACCUCUGCAAGAUCUGUAUCUCUGGCAUUGAUAAAAUCAUUUUAAAAGUUUAUCCCUUGAUUUGAUCUUUCAGGAGUCUAGAAAAAGGUACUGAAUACCCUAGGGAAAGUCUUCUUAUGAUAAUAUAAUGGAGCACAAGUUUCGACUCAUUUAUGUAAAAGUAUUUAGGACUAGUGUUCAUCUCUCCCUUUGUGGUUUAAGAAUCACGGUAGAACAUUCAAAGGUGAUUUGUAAGGGUGGUACUCCCCCCUUUUCAUUAAGUAUGUUCUUUAAAUUUAUACUGUGACAACCUCUGUUGUUUCUUCUCAUUACUAGUUGUUUCAUUUCUCUAAAUGCCUGUGCCCCUUCUGUCAUUAAUCAUGUGCCAGGGGACACACAUUCAAACCGCUUGGGCCCCUCCAAAUAUACUGGUAUCCAAUUCAUUAAAUGACUCAUUAAUUGUUUUCAAACCACAAGGGUCUCGUUUAAUGACUUGCUGCAGCCAUGUAAUUAAAUUGUGUCCUAGUGCCCUCAAAACGUAUCCUCGUUUAAUGACUCAGACUUGAAAAGGCAAUUUAUUGAGUGGCUACCGCUAUGCCACCAUUAUGAAGUGAAGUGAGUUAUUUUUCCGAUUUGCAUGUUUUUAUUUUCUUAGCCUAUCUGUGAUGUCCCCACUAUUGGUCACAACUAAACAUAUACCAGUGAUAUCACAACUUCAGAAUAAUUCAAGUUCAUGGUAUAACUGAUCCUCAGGCUCCAGUUUGCACAUCUACAGGGAGAGAACACAUGACUGCAGCACCCUGUACUGUAAGCUCCACGGCAGUAUCCGUGGUCACCCACUGUGUCCAGGCCUUGGCCUGUUUCAUGUAGUUUUAUAAGCUACUGCCAUUGCCCAGGCCAUCCCUGCUACUAGCCCCACCCGUCUUCCCUUUUGUACUAACCUCCUUCGGUUCCACGAGAUGACUGUGCUACUAGUCCUCUCCCAGCUUCCCGCUGAUAAAAGACACACAGAGACACAGAGACACAGAGACACAGAGACACAGAGACACAGAGACACAGAGACACAGAGACACAGAGACAGACACAGACACAGACACACACACACACACACACACAGAGAGAGAGAGAGAGAGAGAGAGAGAGAGAGAGAGAGAGAGAGAGAGAGAGAGAGAUUGAUUCUUUACAAUUUGCCUUCUAGGCCCAAUUGCUGCCACCUGGUUAAGCUUGUCCUUAAUAGUUUUUUAUCUCCAUUUCUCCACUUGCUCAAAACUUCAGUGUCUAGUCCUACCUAGUGCCUGCUAAACAUCCUUGGCAACCUGCCAUAGCAGAGGCCACCGGCCCAAGCUAUACCCCAGACCUCAAAUGAUUGCUGCGUUCUUCAUCCUCCAAAGCAUGGUAGAAAAGGCUCCUCUCUUUCCCUGCAUCUGCUUUUUCCUCUUGGGACCCACAAGUCCCACCCAUACCUUCCUCCCAGUAAUUGGUCCCCCGCCUUCAUAACUGACAAAUCAAGAACCAACUGGGGAAUAGGACAUUAGUAUCAGAACCUCCCCUUACAUCGGCCCAACUAUUUGCCUUAUUUUCUCUUUGAAAUCUAAGCAGAAUGAUGAGAGCUUGCAUGCUUUUAGACUUAAGUAUAUUACUGAUGACAUGAUUAAGCCUUAGCACAAAUACGAGUAGGUGACAGGAUUUUUCACUAUGAGUGUAGUCCUCUCUAGGAUGGUGUACUUUAUCUUCUUGCAAUGAUAUAGUCACACUUCAAAUCUCUCCUUGCUUGUUCAUUAGUUCAUUCUUCUAUUCAUUCUGCUUUCAAUUUCAAUUUUAAUGCCUAUAUGCUGUGACCGGUUUGAUAGCUUAGUGGGAGAGAACGGCAGUUAAAGAAACUACCAUUUUAAAUUGGGGGAAAGCUUUUGGCAUUUAAUUAAAUGUGUGUGUGUGUGUGUGUGUGUGUGUGUGUGUGUGUGUGUGUGUGUGUGUCUGUAAUGUGUGUUCAUGUGAAUAUGACUCAUGUAUUUUUGACUCUGGAACCAUAGUUUGGACUUUUGGUUGUGCUGGAUCCUCUUCUGUGCUUUGUUUUUAAAUUUGCUUUGAUUCCUUCAGUUUCUCUCUUCCGGUGUCAAACACAGACUGUCAUGCUAAACAAACUCUCAUCCAUCAAGUCACCUAAAUGCCCUGUCCCUGAUACUGCUUUCUUCUCAACAAUUUCCAUGUGCUUCCUUUCCAAUCGAGUUCUAUCACAUGUCUUCAGUCAUUCACCUUUUGAUUGUUUUUGUCUUGUAGGGUACACACACACACACACACACACACACACACACACACACACACACCCUAAGUUCCACCACAAAAUACCAGUUCUCUAAGCAGUUAGAAUAAAAGACAGCCCAUCUAUUUCUCCUUUUAAAACGAUUGAGUAGUUUCUAUUCUCUCAGGAGUAAUCCAAAGCUGCCACAUUGUGGGCUAAAGCAUGUUAUUUCAUGGCUUUUAUUUUCUGGUCUUGAUUUGAAAUACCCCCUACCUACGUUUUUACCCCCUUUUCCAUGUUCUUUUCUUUUCCUCUUUUCCCUUUUCAUUUGCUCUUCUACAAUCUCCAGUGAUUGCCCUUCACACAUGCAGAGUUGCUCUGUGGCCUUCGGAGUGUUCUAUCCACAGAGUCUAACACACGGAAUGCUAUUUUCUACUGUGUACUCCCUAUUUCUCAAGUACCUCCUGCAGGCAUUGAAAGAUGAAAGCCACAUGUCCCCAGCACUGCCUCCUACUUGAAAGCUCCCUGCGCCUUCACUGUAGAGGUAUUAAAUCUACUCAGACCUGCUGUUGUCCAGACUGGCAACUUCUGGAGUCAUUGCAAAGCACUGCAUGAUUAAGGAAAUUUCUCUUUUGCUUCUAGAUAAAUUCCACUUAGCUGUUUCAACUCAUGCUGGAAGUAAAACUCAAGUUUAAUAACCAAAGAAUGUGUUUUGCCCUGAAGUAUUCAACAAAGCAAACAGGCAAAUGAUAUUUCGUGUGGAAUUGCUUCUUUGAUUUAAAAAAAUGAAUUUCCAUUUUCACAGAAUGAGUUAAGAGAUCCUUUAUGAAACAAAAAGUCGCACGUCUUUAUUCUCACUUGAAAUGUUCUCUCUUAAUGAAUUCAUUUAUUUAGGGAGGCAAAAAAAGCUCAAAUACAAGACACUAUCUUUUGUUGAAAAAAGCAGGAGAUAUUAGAAUCAUAACAUGAAUAAUUGAAAGUAUAAUACAGAGAACUAUGCAGGACAUAUUAAUAUUUUCAUGAAAGAGGUUUCUGUCCAUGAUACCUAGAAAGUACUUGAUAAAUAUUUUUAUAAUCAUGGUAAGCGCUAAUGUAUACAUAUUUAUUUUUAUAUUUAUUUUUACAAUGUGCUCUUAGUGCUGUUAUUGUUUCUAUGUCAGUGGUGAAUCUAUGGAUACAGAGAACUUGAGAGGCUCAGUUUGUCCAAAAUCAUUUGGUAGGUAGACAGUGACCGGAAAUCAGGCCCAGGUAACCUCAUUCCUACAUACCGCACUGUCAUCCCACUGAAGAUAAAUGAAGGCUGCACAUGCCUCUACACAUCAAGGGUGCCAAGUGAAGUAACAGUCGAUUGCCCCUGCAGCUUUGGGCGCAUGGCAGUACCACAUAUCCUGACAGGAGGACGUACCAGUAAAGGCGGGUUCAGGACAUGGUCAGAAAGCAAAGAGCUUGGAAAGGCAGGAGACUCCACAUCUGCUUCCAGUGUAUACCUGUGUACGUCCAACUUCCUUCCACAGAAGCACCACCCCCAGAAGUGCAGCACAUGGAGCUCCAUAGGCUACAGACCACACCUGAGUGCGGAGAACUUCUAGGGACAGUAUGAACCAGGAAAUCAAGAAAUGGACUAUUGAAUUGUUGUCUACAUAUGUGUAUGUGUUAUAUGCCUAUGUUCAUGUAUGUUUACAUGGAUGUGCACAUGUGUACAUCUACACGUGUUAACUAGAGGAUGAUCUUAUGUAUCUUCCUUUAAUAUCUUCACUUACAUUUUUUUGUGAUAGUGUUUUCCACAGAACCUGGAUUAACGCAUUUGGCAGGACUAGUUGAAAGCAAGUCCUAGUGAUCCUUCUCUUUCUACCACCCCUUCACUAGGAAUUACAGGUUGAGACACGGCUCUGCCAAGAAUUCCAAAUCAAGGAUUUAUUGUGUAUGACAGGAGGAACUUCAAUCAUUGAACCAUCUCUCCAUCCUUUUGAUUGUUUAAAUUUUUUAAAUUCAGGCAGUUCUUAUUUUGCAUUGGUCCAUAAAAUUCUAUGGCAAAAAAUUGAUUUAAAGGAAGGGAGAUUCCUUUAAAGGUACGCACACACACACACACACACACACACACACACACACACACACACACAUUGCUGUGGGAACUGUUUCAGUGGAGAUCUAACAAUGCUUCUGGUUGCUAUGAACACAUUGUUAACAGGUUAACAGCGAGUAGUUUAUGAUUUAUAAACAAGUACUAACACUGUUUAGUGUACUUACUGUUUGUCACAAGGCACAUUAGAUAGUUUUGUCAUGGAAGAUAGAUCAAUGAAAUGAGUAGUGGGCUAUUUAACUCUAAUGUAACAAAUUCGUGUACCCUCAGUUUUCUAGUUUUCAUUCUCAAAGUUCUAAGUGAUUUUAGAAAGACAUCCGUUCUGUACUAAAAUGUAUAUGUGACCAGAAUGAUAAUUGUUUUUCCUGGGAAGAGAAACUCUAUGAAGUAGUGGUUAGACAGGUGCAUAUUACAAACAGCAACUGGUAUUGGUGACAGAAUUGCUAUAAGCAAUAUUUUAUAAUCAGUUUAAUGAUAUUCUAAGUCAGAAGCGAAAACGACAGGUCUUCCCAGAAAUGGUCCCUUCCAGAUGCCUCGCCAGUGAACUUUGAAGAAGGAGUCUUGAAUAUUUGGUUUAGGGAGUGACAUGAAGAGUUGUGAGCCAAUCAUGAUGACAGCUGAUUGCCUUUGAAUCCUUUUCAGCAUCCAGAAUGUGGACUUGCCGGGAGAGUCCUUCCUACAAGGUGAUGGGGUUAAAAGCACAGCCACAGGAAGUCUUUAAAGGGAAUAUUAGUGUGGGCACAGCACCACAGGCUGUAGAAACAUAGGAGACAGAAGAAUGAGAAACCAUCUAAUACACCUAGGGGAAUAGAUGGUAACCUGGUAUGGUGAAAACAGUUUAUGAUGGGACCCUUAAGUCUCCAUGAUCCCAGGAAUCUGUGCCAAAGCCAGGGAGUGAUUGCUCAUCUUUAUAUUUAUUUUAUUUCACUCUUCGUAUCAUUAAAUCUUAAGGCAGCCAGGUUCCUCCCUAGACUUGUGUAUAACACGGUGUGAAAUGAUCCUGAAAGUCACAAUCGGGGAAUCACAGAGAGUUCUGCAUAUUCAGGGAACAGAGAAGGGUAAGAGGGCAUUGGUCUCCUCACAUUGCUUCAUAGACCAUUUUAUUUGGGUUAUUUUUCUCAUAAAAUAAGAUGUGUGUGUGUGUGUGUGUGUGUGUCUGUCUGUCUGUCUGUCUGUCUAGAGAAUAAAGCUAGGGACUUUCACAUGCUAGACAGCCUCUUUACCAUUGACAUAUAUGCCUAGCACAAUUUGGAAUCAUCCUGACCUGAGAUUGAGUAAAGUUCGUAUUUUGUAUAUGAUGGUGGAUCUAGUGGUGUCACAGGGAUGUGUGUGGGGAGAGAAUUUGAGGACAAUACAAUAAGGAUCAGGAUUCUUCCUACAUAAUAUGGGGUAGGACACGGGAUGAAGUUGGUAGAAUUUUCUGCAUAAACUACCAGCCAGAAUGUGAUUGAAAAUCAUCCAUGGGCAUUGAUCUCAGGGCUAGCUAUAUAGUAUUGGAUUAGCAGGUUGCAUUUGUGUGUGUGUGUGUGUGUGUGUGUGUGUGUGUGUGUGUGUGAACAACAAUUGGGGAGGAGGAGAUCAGUAGUUUACAGGGGAACCUGGUGGUUGGAAUGGAAGGAGCUGGAAGUAGAAGAAUGGAGAAAAAAUAAAUAUAAUUAUAUUUUUAUCAUAUAUAUUUAACAUAUAUUUUAUAUUGUUAAUUUUAUAGUUAAAAUUGUUAUUUCACUCUAAUGAAUAUAUUUUAUUGAUUCAAAAAAUUAUUUCAUUGUAUAACUAAAGAAAAUUGUUCCUGUUAUGUAUUUUAAGUUAUUUCUCUCAGAAUCUUUGGAACCAAGUUAAAGCACUUCAGAGUUUGGUUGGCUGCAUUUCUUUCUGGUAAUCAUGAGUAGCUGGUAACUAUCAUCCUUGGCAUCACAGUUCUGAAGUUUCCUCUGAUAAGCCCCAAGGAAAGCCUUCUGAGAAGGCAUGUGGAUUUGCACCUACUCUUGAACAUAGGACAGAGAAGGAUGCCUACUCCAGAGUCACAUGCUGUUCCGAGCCCCACACUAGGUCACCAUGGUAGAGACCUGACAACCCCAAAACUUUUACUUCAUUUUCUUCCCUUCUGUACCAGCUUUCGGUUUUGUUGAGAAAAUAUUUGAGGAAAAAAAAAUCAAAAGCAUGAAAGCUUUAUUUUAGCUCAUAGCCUUGGGUGUUCCCCAUGUGCUUCUUCUGGCUCCCUUGUUUCUCGGUUAAACAGCUAAAACAGCAUCAUGGCUGGGAACAUGUGCAAGAGGAAAGCUGCUCCCCUCAUGUCCAGCAAAAAGCAGAGAGAGUGAGCAUGAGAGAGCAAGAGAGAGCAUGAGAGAGCGAGUGAGAGCGAGUGAGAGAGAGCAAGGGAGAGCAAGAGAGCAAGACAGUGAGAGAGAGAGCAAGAUAUAUAUAUAUAUAUAUGUAUAUAUAUACAUAUAUAGAUAGAUAGAUAGAUAGA